rnacentral:tRNA from 1 species
GCCUAGCUGGCUUAGUUGUAGGAUCAUGAGACUCUUGAUCUCGGGGUUGUGAGUUCGAGCCCCACGUUGGGUG